UAGGGAAUAUUGCACAAUGGAGGAAACUCUGAUGCAGCGACGCCGCGUGAGUGACGAAGGCCUUCGGGUUGUAAAGCUCUGUUCUUAGGGAAAAAGAAAGUGAUUGUACCUAAGAAGAAAGGACCGGCUAACUUCGUGCCAGCAGCCGCGGUAAGACGAGGGGUCCAAGCGUUGUUCGGAAUCAUUGGGCGUAAAGCGGGUGUAGGCGGCUCUAUAAGUCAGAAGUGAAAGCCCCGAGCUUAACUCGGGAAGUGCUUUUGAUACUGCAGAGCUUGAAUGUGGGAGAGGGUAGUGGAAUUCCAGGUGUAGUGGUGAAAUACGUAUAUAUCUGGAGGAACACCGGUGGCGAAGGCGGCUACCUGGCCCAACAUUGACGCUGAGACCCGAAAGCAUGGGGAUCAAACA
rnacentral:rRNA from 1 species